AGGAGCAGCAGGAAGCAGGAGGUGAAGGUGGGGAGGAAUAAUGAGGAUCCACCAGAACCAGAACCACAGACCAGCCUGAAUAAUCCAAACCAAACGCAGUGAGACUCAGAUGCAGAACAAACUGCAGAUGUGGACUCUCCUAUCGGCCUGCAGGGAUCUGUCCAUCCGUCCGUCCGUCUGUCUGUCCUCCUCAGGUUUUCUGUGGAUUUGCUCUGAAUUUCCAUCUUUGGCUCGUCUGAAAGUGUCUUAAUGAUCAGGAGAAAGUCUCUCAUUCAGGACCGAGCCGUCGUCUUUGACUCUGAAAAAUGUAAAUUCAUUCCAGAGGACUUCAUUUGGUUGGCUCUCCUCUCCCGUUCGCCUCAGGCGCGGUCGAGCUGCAGUCUUGGAAAACUUUGGAAGAUGUUUUCCAGAUCCGGAGUUUCAGUCUUCGUUCGUCUCUGGGGCGAAAAGUUUUCAGGAACUUUUUAACUUGGAUCAGAGGAGAAACUGAUGAGAAAAUGAAACGUUUCUCUGGAGUUAAAACACGUCGACGGUCUGAAAGGAACAUGGCUGUUUGGUUCCUUUGGAUCGGCAGACGGAGCAGCUGAAACGGUGCGGCUGUUUCUGAUUUUCUGAAGCCUCCUGGAGGAAAGAGAAGCAGCAAAACGACAGACAGACGCGUCUGGCGUUCUGAUUGGCUGAGACUGGCUGACAUAAUGCUGCCAUCACCUGAUCGUUCUCCUGCUGACCUCCUUCAAUCUAACAUAGAAACGUCUCUGGUUCAGUUCUUCUGCUUCUGCUCUGUCUUCUCAAACCUGCAGAUGGUACUGAGCCAGGUUCUGGUUCUGGUUCUGCUGGAGCUUUCUUCCUGUUAAAGAGAUUAUUCUGGAGAAAGAAAAUGUCGCCAACAGAAGAAUGACCGGAAACACGUCGAGGUUUCUGGACGGGUUCAAAACAGCACAAAGAGGAAAAGAUGAGGCUCAAAGCUCAACAACUCGUCCAUAAAAACACAAAGACUCCAAAGCGACUCUGAGGAGAAGACAGUUUGUUCCUGCAGCUGGAUUCGGGUAGAAGCAGCUGAAUGGCGUCGCUUCACCUGGACUCUCGAUCAGAAGAGCAAAUGAAGACAUGAUGGGAUGAGAAACCAGGAGGAAGUGAUGCAGAGAGAGAAAGGCUGUGAUUGGCUGACCGUCGCCCCGUUCCUGUAGUUAAAUGAAAGCAGAAAAGAUGUAAAACAAUCUGUCUGAAGCUCUGCAAUCAAACUUUCACUGCAGCUGUUAUUACUCUAUUAUCUGAGAGAGUGGACGGUUUCACAGCCCGAAAUUACUCCGGUUUUAGAGCGAAGUGUGUCUCUGGUUUUACAGGAAGUGACUUCCUGUGUUCGUUACGCUCCCACUAAUUACCUGUCACUCCUGUUUGUUAGAAUCACUGUCAUUUUCAUUCAGAAUGGAUGACGGCUGUCAGAUUAGUCGCCGACUUCCAGCAACGCGAUACUAAGAAUAAAGCAGAUUAGCAUGUCUGCUGAACAGCAGAAUCUCCUGAAACCUGAGCGGAUCAGAGAACAUCGACGCUGAUCAGGUAAAAAAAGCUACAUGCUAAAAACUGAACCAAAACGUUAUGGCAGUUCAUCUUCCAUCAAGGUUUAUAUAUUUGCAUUUUGAGCUAUUGCGUUAGAAAAAGCUUUGAACCUGAGAUGUUCACAGGAAACGGUGAAAAGGGCGGGGCGAGUAACGGAAACACGUAAGUCACGUUAUUGCUUGGAUUUUAAUCGGUGCGUUUUGCAUCCAAUGAAAACAAACAUGUUAAAUAAACUGGACAGUUUGCUGUAAGUUUAGUGAUAUUUCCACAGUUGUGGUCUUGAAAUAAAGUCCUGAGUCCUCAGCGCCCGAUUCCAAGACUCGAAACCAAGACCGGUCUCGAUUACUACACUGAAUGACAGUCUAGAAACGCAGACAUAGAGACGAACAUUUUCCUAAAAAAUCUGACAUUUAAAGUAGAACUAAACCAAAAGCAGCUGCUUUCACUGAUAAACUGUUUAAACAGAUCAUUUAUGGUUCUAUCUUUAAGUUUUAGUGAGAAUUUUGACAUUUUUGUGUAAAUUUGCUCAGUUUGGUCAUUUAAACCUAAAACUGUCUCAGUGCUGCCCUCUUUGGGUCAAACGGUGCAGUGACUUCCUGUUUCCUGCAACCAAUCAAGAUCCUGUCUGUCAACACACUGGAAGCUUUGGGCAGAGAUCUAACAAACUCUCAGCAGCGCCCCCUCAGUCUGGGUGGAGAACUGCACCAUCAUGGUUCUGCGUGUUGAGGUAAAUGUGGAUUGAUCAACGUAACGUUAAGUUCAUUCAUUUACUCACUCAUCCUGCUGGGCGUCUGAAUGUGUGUGUGCAUCACGCCACAGUAAUAAUUCAUAAAAAUGUCCGUGGUGUGAUUUUGUUUCCUGUGUGGGUCGGAUCCGGUUAGGUUGCAUUCACACUUUGCUCCUUUU